rnacentral:lncRNA from 1 species
AUGAAUAUUUGGAAAUUGUCUACAUGUCUACUAAUAGAGGAAUGGUUAAAUAAAUAGAAAACAGAUUGAUGCAUGCAUUUGCGGAAAAUCACAUUUAAAUCACACUUUCAAAGAAUGUUUAAUGACAUGAGAAAAUAUUGUUAUACUGUUACAUUACUUGAUGAGAUUACAGGGAUUUAAACAGUCUUUAUUACUUUAUUAUAAUUUGUAGGAUAUGUCCCAAGUUUUCUGAAAUAAACAUGAUUUAUUUUUACAAUUUUUUUUUUUUUUUUGGAGACAGAAUCUCACUCUGUUGCCCAGGCUGGAGAGCAGUGGUGCAAUCUUGGCUCCCACUGCAACCUCUGCCUACUGGGUUCAGGCGAUUCUCCUGCCUAAGCCUCUUGAGUAGCUGGGAUUACAGGCAAGCGCCACCAUGGUUUCUAUGGAUUCCAGAUCUGUGGAUUCAACCAACCAUGAGACAAAAAUAUUUUUUUAAAAAAGAAAAAAGAGGAAAAAAAUGGUUGUGUCUGUACUGAGCAUGUAUAGACUUUUUUCUUGCUGCUAUUUCCCAGACAAUGUAGUGUAACAACUAUUUACAUACUAUUUACAUUGCACUGGGUACUAUAAGUAACCACGAGAUGAUUUAAAGUAUAUAGGAGGAUAUGCAAAUACUAUACCAUUUUAUUUUAUUUUAUUUUAUUUUGAGACAGA